rnacentral:rRNA from 1 species
AUUGAACGCUGGCGGCAUGCUUUACACAUGCAAGUCGAACGGUAACAGGGAGCUUGCUCCGCUGACGAGUGGCGAACGGGUGAGUAAUGCAUCGGAACGUACCCAGUCGUGGGGGGAUAACGUAGCGAAAGUUACGCUAAUACCGCAUACGUCCUGAGGGAGAAAGCGGGGGACCGUAAGGCCUCGCGCGAUUGGAGCGGCCGAUGUCGGAUUAGCUAGUUGGUAGGGUAAAGGCCUACCAAGGCGACGAUCCGUAGCGGGUCUGAGAGGAUGAUCCGCCACACUGGGACUGAGACACGGCCCAGACUCCUACGGGAGGCAGCAGUGGGGAAUUUUGGGACAAUGGGCGCAAGCCUGAUCCAGCCAUGCCGCGUG